CCCAUCGAAGAAGUCGUAAAGCUACUCUGCGAUUGGCUGACUACCCAUUCCUCACCGGGAGUGACGCAUGUCAUCCACUCGCUGGGAGAAAAUGAAGACAAAAUCCAACGCUACGUUGGUUUCCAGCACAAAAUCCGACAGCUAAAAUUAAAACUGGACAACGACGGCGAUGACGUUUGAGUGGCGCUAGCCGACGACAGCGCCCGCCGAGGCCUCCUCCCUACGUAAUCUGACAAAUGUCGCCAUCGCGCCUGGGUUUGUAGCCGCUUGGCCGCCUGCCAGUCUCCUUGCACGCCCGCUGCCUGUGAUGUCUGUCCUCCCGCCACUGCCACCGGAGCUGUGGGUAUCGGUGCUGAGCUUCCUGGGCCCCACCGACAUGCAGGCGGUGCGCUGCUCGUGCCGAGCCCUGCGCCUGCUGGCCGACCACCCUUAUCUCUGGCGAGGCCAGACGGUGGUGCUAUCCGACCUGCGCCGCUACACUUUCGGCUUCUGGGACACGCUACGCCGGCGCAAGCUGACCCGCGUGGCCGUGCGCCACCUGCGCCGCAAGGAGUGGCGGCGCCUGGUAAAGUUCCUGCCGUCGCUCAGCGCCGUCGCCUUCGUCAACGGCGGCCGCGUCUACAAGCAAAAGUACCUGGACCACCUGCUGCAGUUCUCUGACGUGCGGGAGCUGGCCGUGCGAGACGCCGCCUGGUCCGAGCCCAUGCUGGGCCCCGCCCUCAGCGCGCACCUGAGCGCCCAGCUCACCCACCUGAGCGUGUGCAACGUUCGCCUGCGUUCCGCCGCCGACUUUGUCCACACCUUGGCCGGCCUCAGCAACCUGCGCUACCUGCUCUUCCACCAGCAGGGGGAGGGCUGCGGGCUGGACCGGGUGCGCCCUGUGCCCCGGGACGACUUCCAUCACAUGAUGACCGGCCUGCCCAAGCUCACGCACCUCUCGUGGGGCAUGAGGGGCGAGCCCCAGGAGCCCCUGCCCGACAACUACCUAAGUCCGCCGGACCCGUGGCGCCCGGGCUUCCCGGUCGGGGGUCCAGCCCUGAGCAGUCUGGAACUGGUAGACUACCCCGAGACCAUCUUGCCCUACAAUGCGCUUAGGAGUCUGACCUCCCUUCGCUCGCUCACCGUGCAUUACCGCUACAUCCGCGAUGGACUGGACUGUCGCCUGGCGUCCUGGCUGGCGCCCCUCAAGCACUUGGAGACCCUCAGCAUAGUGGGCGGGAACUCCCUGUCGCUGUACACCAACACCAUCCCGGCCAGCGUCACACGGCUAACACUGCGUGUGGCCAUCACUCUGAAGGAUUUGGACUCCAUUGCGCCCAAAGUUUUGGCUCUGGAGCACCUGGACAUCGAGCAGAACCGCUCCAGCGGAAGCCUGUGCCGGCGCAUCCCCAUGUUGUUCCCUCAACUGCGGACGCUGCGCAUACGGUUCUUUCGCCGUGAGCCCGAGAAGGACCUCCUAAGCCUGCAACGUCUUCGGCACCUGGAGCGUCUGGAGCUCUUGGUGGAGCGCUCCUUCAUCCUGAGGGACUACCUGAACGGACACCCGUGGCCGAGCCCCUGCGUCCAGGAGCUCAUCGACCAGCUGGUGCAGCUGUCGGCCAACCGGAUCACAGUGGUGACCGCCAUGCGGCGCCGUAACCCGCUCAGAGAGUGUAACUGUGUCUGGGAGGGAGACUGAUGGAAGCCUGGAACUUGGACAACCUUGUGAAGCGCUUACAUGAACGAUGUGGUUGACCGUUAAUGACCUGAACCUGAGCUCGCCCAAAGACAAACAGACUACCUAGACCUUGAGCCACGAUAUAUCCAGGAAGUACAAGACUAGACCUGACUGAACAGGACGAGGCAAAGCAAGACUGGACUGGACAAUACAAGAAAACGACAAAAGGGCAGCACAAGACGAAUAAUAAGACGGGCUUGGACUAGACCACACAGUGUUAUUGUUAGCCAAAGCAAGACAGGACAGCACAACGAAGGAUGUGUGAAGACAAAAAUGGAUUGGACAGCACAAGACAAGACACUGUAAGACGAAAUAGGGAUGGACAAAGCCUGACCAGACAAGAUAAGGCAAGGUGUAGGACUGGGCAAUGCCAGACCAGUCAAGAAAAGACUUGCCCCCAAACAAGACAGGAAAGGAACAAUUAAGAUGAAAUGGGAAUGGACUACACCUUAUUCGGUCUUAGACAAGAUAGGACUGGACAAAACAAGAUGGGUCAAGAAAGGACAAGGCAGGCCCGGCAAGACCAAGACAAGAUUAUAAUCUUGGGACACAAAGAGGAGCCAACUCAAGACGGAUGAAGAGCCUUUCUCAGAAUUCCAGCAGGUGCGCGUGAGGUCCAUCGGCCUGGAUGUGCAGAAUCUGUCUAUUCCCGUACGUCCCGUGCUGAGCGCUCAGGCCAGGCGCCGUCACCUCCUGGCGAAACAGAGCCUCCAAGCAGGAGUAGAGCCGCAGUCCGUCCUCCUUGGCUAUGUUGUCGUGGUACUGCACUGUCCUGCCUUUGGCUUUGCCGCCCAGCGGGGCCUGAGGGACCAGCAGGAGGCUACCCGGGAGCUCUGCCAGCGAAACCAUCUUCCCUGACGGCGACUCGCAGACGCGCACGUAGAGCGGCGUCUAAACUACGUCAGCAAGAAGACAUUGCGUGCGAAAAUUAAUGUCUCAGAUCCCAAUGCGGACUCCCCACUUUAAUUUAAUUUGUGACUGCUGUCUGCUGACAGAGUUGAUGUGUGGUGGAUUUUGGUACAGUUGCACAACAGGGCCAAGAGACCGGAACUCUCUGGCGGGCCGGCGAGUUCACGUGACCGUACUUGUCGCUCGACUUGUACGGCCAAUCAGGCUCUCCCUCUGAAAUGGGUUGUUCCCAAACAAAGCAAAGCGGGAGCUGGCCAAGACGUCACGUAUUUUUGAGUGUCGAAUAAGGCCAACUGGCGGCAGAUGGUGUUUGACGCGCAUCCUUUCCGAAGAAUUGCGUUGUACUUUUAGCGAGGUGAGCAGUGGGCGAAUGCAAGGCCCGGAGGUGGCGGCCCAUCGCAAGGUUCGGAGGCGACUCACCCAUCUUGGGAAGGAUGUCUUCUGUUGCGCCUUUCAAAAAAACAAACGUAGACCACCAUGCCUCUGAACUCUCUCCCCCGUUGUUUACUUGUAUGUUACUCGUGUACUGUGUCUCGUCACCGUGGGAUGGAGGAAACGGAAUUUCGAUUUCUUUGUGUGUCUUGGCAUGAAGGAAUUGACAAUAAAGCUGACUCUGACUCUGAAUCUGCAACCACACAGACAUCACAGUGCCGUCUGACACCAGAGUGCGUGAUACGGCUCAUUUCCGAGGUUCACCCUUGCGCAUUGAAGGCUACGUACGGCCCUCUUGGGUUUGCAUUGCUCAACUCAAAAGAGAGCCACGUUGCAGCCGUCCAAAUGGCGGCCAGCAAAUAUAUUUAGAUGCAUGUGGUUGAUAACCCAGACCCAAAGCCUUGUUGGCUGCGUGGAAACGUAGUCGCUGAGGAAAUUUGAGCCUGACAGCUCACAGCGACAUAUUGUUCAUAAAAAGACAAAUAGCAAGUGUUUCGCUGCGCGAAUGCCUGUAUUUCACACUCCGGUCUCGAGCGUACAGCCCCUCUCUAGGCUGUUUUAGAUGAAUGACCAGGAUUCUUAGGCUCCUGGCAUCCUUGCCACCCAUCGUUUGAGUCGCGUGUGUUGGAGCAGAGAAACAUCCAAAACAGAGUGGCUCUCGAGGACCUGAAAGUUUCUGAUUUCGAACUAUAAAUAUCCAUCAGCUGCUUUCACUUUUCCAUUUUAUGAAACAAAACGAGGCCACUUUAGCGAUGAUUUUUCGUGCGUGGACGCAGGCGUUAGGAUAGAAGCUGCGCAUGUUGUACUGACCUGAACCCAUUGAGCCGGUUGUUGCUCGUCCUGCGGCUUCACCUGCAGCCUCGCCUGCAAACAUUACUGUAGAAUCGUGCGGACCACUGGGGUCGCACAACCGCUCCUGCCAGCCAUUCCACUUAGCUCAACAAAAUGUAUGGAUGUAGUUUGGAAAAUCAGGACUUGACAAGUUGAAGCACACUUCCGGGUUAUGUCACAUCUGUGUUACAUGUCAAGUUGCUCCCAUGUUAUCUUGCUCCCUGUCUCGAGUUACGACUGUUAUGGUAAAGCGAUUUUGUGUUUCGCGACUGGAGAUUCGUCACAAGCGACUUGGAACUUGCCUGACUGCAAAACUGUUCUAAUUCUCAAUAAAAACGCUGAACGAAA